rnacentral:lncRNA from 1 species
AAAGAUUUAGUCCCUGAGAUAUAUAUAUUAAAAAAAGUCAUAAAAAUGCACUCACCAAACAGAGCAAUUCAUUAAGCUAGUAUAUAUAUAGAAUUUGAGUUAUCCCAGUGAAACUGACAGCUGGUUAAAUUUUGUGUGUCAUUUUAGAGUGGCUGCACUUCCUCCCCAGGAGCUGCUUAAAAUAGAUACUGUUUACACUUGGUGGCAGGAUCAUAUCACCCUGCAAUGAAAAUUUCAGUCGGAGCUUGGAUUCUACGCAGUGGAACAUAGAUAAGUUUAAGUUUAGAUGCUGCAGUUUACCUGCUUACGUGAGGCUUAUGGCAGUGAAGAUGAGAGCAUCUGCUACUGUUAGGAGUAUAACAUUUUAGUUAUCUGUGCUUUUGGCCACACGGUCCCAGUUGAUUGUAGCUACUUCAGCGCUCUGUGGAAGGAAAGGCCACCAUAGAAAGAGAACAGGUCUAGCCUAUUGAUGUCUUUGAAGGUAAGAACGGGUGCCUUGACUUGGAUCCAGAAUCAGUAAGAUGAGCAGUUGUGGGAUGUAGACAGUGAAGUCUUA